AUACGUAGGGAGCAAGCGUUAUCCGGAUUUAUUGGGUGUAAAGGGUGCGUAGACGGGAGAUUAAGUUAGUUGUGAAAGCCCUCGGCUUAACUGAGGAACUGCAACUAAAACUGGUUUUCUUGAGUACUGGAGAGGAAAGCGGAAUUCCUAGUGUAGCGGUGAAAUGCGUAGAUAUUAGGAGGAACACCAGUGGCGAAGGCGGCUUUCUGGACAGCAACUGACGUUGAGGCACGAAAGUGUGGGGAGCAAACAGGAUUAGAUACCCUGGUAGUCCACACCGUAAACGAUGAAUACUAGGUGUAGGUUAUAUCAUGUAAUCUGUGCCGUCGCAAACGCAAUAAGUAUUCCACCUGGGGAGUACGGCCGCAAGGUUGAAACUCAAAUGAAUUGGCGGGG
rnacentral:rRNA from 1 species